CAGUCUUCCGUAUCUUGCUCCACAGCGUGCCACUGAGGCGUAAUUCAGUGCAAGAAGUCUGUCAUCAACAAGAGAUUAGAAGCAUGGCCUCGUAAGUUCGCUGGCCCAAGAAAGACCUGAGCCCAUCCUGCUGCCUGGAGCCCAGCCUCUGUUGAGCCAAGCCCAGAUCAGAAGACCCCUCACGUGACCCACAGGAAAUUCCAUGCUUGAAUGUGCCCUGAGAUAUGAAGCAUGACAAGAACUACCACCCAAGCGGUUGUCAGAAUGCAGACGGUCUGACCACGAUCCCUCCAGGGACUUGCCCUUCUCCCGCAAACCGUCAACAACGGGGAUACUCCUGGGAAAGAAGGAUGGUGACUUUCUAGGCAGAAGCCGUGUUUUCAGAAUCUGUACUUGUUACUCAAGGAUCCACAUAAAGAAGCAGACAUGGGCCAGGGCAAAGCACACGUUCUAAUGCUUGGCUACCUCAAACUCUUCAUUGUCUUUUCUCAGCGUUUUGCCAAUGUCUUAACUAGUCUCCUGUGUCUUCUCUCCCCAUUUUCAAGUUGCUUCAUAAGUUGCCAUGAGAAUAUUUCUAUAAACACGAAGCCAGUUGUAUUGCCUCACUCAGUCCACACUCACUGUGUCUGGUCUACUGAAUACAUCCUCAAGCCCUUGGCACUGCACUGAGAGAACGUCACAGUAUGGCCUGAAUUUACCCUCCUAGCCAUUCUUCUAGUCACCUCCUCAUCAAGGGUGGGUCAGUCACUCCCCUUUGACCCCCAAAUCUAAGACUCCAUCAGACUGUAAAGUUGUAUGGUUUUGUAAGAACCCACUGUCAGUAAGAUACGUACUUUUCAACUAAAUUUAGUAUUGAA